rnacentral:rRNA from 1 species
UACGUAGGGGGCUAGCGUUGUCCGGAAUCAUUGGGCGUAAAGAGCGUGUAGGCGGUCCGGUAAGUCCGCUGUGAAAGUCGGGGGCUCAACCCUCGAAUGCCGGUGGAUACUGUCGGGCUAGAGUGCGGAAGAGGCGAGUGGAAUUCCUGGUGUAGCGGUGAAAUGCGUAGAUAUCUGGAGGAACACCGGUGGCGAAGGCGGCAUCCUGGACCAACACUGACGCUGAGGAGCGAAAAGUCAGGGGAGCAAACGGG